rnacentral:rRNA from 1 species
UACGGAGGGUGCAAGCGUUAUUCGGAAUCAUUGGGUGUAAAGCGCGUGUAGGCAGCCAGGUACGUCAGAUGUGAAAGCUCUCGGCUUAACCGGAAAAGUGCAUUUGAAACUGCUUGGCUUGAGUCUCGGAGAGGAAGGUGGAAUUCCCAGUGUAGAGGUGAAAUUCGUAGAUAUUGGGAGGAACAUCGGUGGCGAAGGCGAUCUUCUGGACCGUGACUGACGCUGAGACG